rnacentral:rRNA from 1 species
GACGAACGCUGGCGGCGUGCCUAACACAUGCAAGUCGAACGGAAAGGCCCUGCUUGCCGGCUGCUCGAGUGGCGAACGGGUGGGUAACACCCUGGUGAUCGGCCUCUUUCUUUGGGAUAAGUCUUGAAAACUGGGUCUAACACUGGACAGGACCAUGAUGGAGGUUGGGUGGUGGCAAGUUUAGUUACGGUGUGGGUUGAGCUCGCGGCUUAUCAGCGUGUUGGUGGGGUAGUGUCGUACCAGGGCGUCGACGGGUAGCCGGCCAGCUGGGGUGGACGGCCGCAUUGGGACUGAGAGACUGCCCAGAGUCCUACAGGAGGCAGCAGUGGAGCAGAUUGGACAAUGGGAGCAAGCGUGAUGGAGCGACGCCGCGUGGGGGAUGACGUCCUUCGGGUUGUAAGCUCGUUACGGCCAUGACGAAGCGCUUGUGGUGACGGUAGUGGUAGAAGAAGCACCGGCUAACUACGUG